GACGGAGGGGGCUAGCGUUGUUCGGAAUUACUGGGCGUAAAGGGCGCGUAGGCGGCCUUCUAAGUCAGACGUGAAAUCCCCCGGCUUAACCUGGGAACUGCGUCUGAUACUGGAGGGCUUGAGUAUGGGAGAGGGAUGUAGAAUUCCAGGUGUAGCGGUGAAAUGCGUAGAUAUCUGGAGGAAUACCGGUGGCGAAGGCGGCAUCCUGGACCAUUACUGACGCUGAGGCGCGAAAGCUAGGGGAGCAAACGGG
rnacentral:rRNA from 1 species